CAGGGCGCUAAAACCGGUGUCGCAGGCUGCGCCUGCCCCGGGACAGUCUUGAGGCCGAGAGGACCCCACCCCUGUGAGCAGCUGGGCCUCUGAUUGGUGGGUGGAGGCUCCACCCCCUAGAGGAACUUUCACAGCACUGAAGACUGUCACCGUUGAUCUGAAUGGAUGUGGUGGAAGAAGUGACAUCUCUGUGCAGAGGAUUGGAAGAACAUUAUCAGAAGCUGUGAUCUUAGAAAAACUGUUAACACCAUACUCACAGGACUUAUCUUACGGAAUUGCAUGGAUUGCAGCCCCAGAGAACAUCACAUAAAUAUGGGACUGUGUUUAUGACUGCCAGGCAAGACUUCAGCACACCAGAAGCCAAGCCUCUUCAAUGUGACAAUUCACUGCAUCUUGGAAUAAAAGAGAAAAAAUCUUCAGCAUUCAAUACUGUCUUCACAUCCUGGAACCUCUUUCUUGCAAAAUCUAGAAGAGACCAAUAAAAAAAAUAUAUAAAUGAAAAUUCCCUCAAUGUCAUUCCUAAAGCACGGAGAACAAAGAACAACACGAUCAUGAUUUCAAAUAACUGAUGAAGUGUCAGGGAGCUGGUUCAAGAACAUUCUUGAAGCUUAUGCUGUAAGGCUGAAAAAAGAAAGACUGAUACAUAUAGUAUUUCCUAUCAAACACCAUUAAAACACAUGUAAAUCACUGCUAGGAAUUGAGUUUUAUUAAUAUAUCCAAACCUUCAGAGUUGGUAGAUAUAAAAGCUAAGCCAUUUCACCUCAUCCUAGUUCUGAGGAUACUUAGGUCGCUGUAUGGUAAAUGAAAUCAGUUACUUCAUUAAAAGUUGGGAUUUAAUUUUCAUUUACCCUGCUCCAGUAAAAUACACUCAACUCUCUGAAGUUUCAGCUGCAAUUUGUGUCCCACAGAGUACUGAAAACAUGAAUUAGCAAUUCAAAAUGUGCACAAAUGGCACUUUGGAUGACAUGACACAGGUACUUUUCAAAGCCUAUCAUGAGUUUGCAAGAACUAAAUCAGCAUUUGGAAUAGAUGCCCAAGCUUGAUCCCUUGCAUGACCUAAAUUCAGCCUACUAGAUUUCUUCAGAUUUUUGCUAUACUGUUUGAUAUAUAAGGCUCAUCUGUUGAACUGACCAGCUAUGUGAAAAUAAGUACUACUUUGAAAACAGUUUUUAAAUAUUUUUACAUGAAUAUUAUUUGGUCAUGCCAGAUCUGAAGUCUGCAAAGCAUCCUUGUCCAUAUGAAAAUUGUGUCUGUGAAGACAGGACAUAGCACGUUAUACUUUUCCCAUAUUACCUUGUCCAACAUUAUCCUUUGUGUUGCCCAAGACAGGCAGCUGAGAGGCAGUGGAGGCUGUGACUUCAUGAGGAGGAAUAUGUUUCUUAAAAGUUCUGUCUGUGGAAUUGCAUCCUCCCAUUGUUACCCAGGAACUGAGACUCCCAUUACAGUGAUUAAAAGCAUCUGUUAGAGUUUU